AAGGGCUGGGCACCGAGUGCAAAUGCAGACGUCCUAGUUCCAGGAGUCCUUUCAGGGCUGGCUGGUCUUGGGGGACGAGCUUGGCUUUUAAAUGCAGUGUGGCCUUUUCGUUACUGAAAUCAGACCUUGUUACUGGAGAUACCCUGGGGAGUUUCCCUCACCUGAACAUCAAGGAAAUGAAGUUUAGAGACACUCAGUGACUUAUCCACGUCUGAGAUCCGAAAGCACGGUGUUGCUUUCAUCCUGAUGGAUAAUCUGGGAGACUCAACCAGUGACACACACUUGACAGAUGUUAUUAAAAUAGAGUUUAACAAGACGUGGACAACAGGCUACUUAUGAGCAGCGAGAAACAUGGACUUUCUCCGAAGUGCACCCUCUUAAAAACGUCGAGUAUGUAACAAGCAAUGGUGAGGAUGGAUCUCCCCUGAGGCAGGGGAGUAACAAAAGAAAAAGCCCCAGUCCACACAGAAGGCCCAGGGUGAUGUCCACCACCCAGGAAAUGGAGCUGGGGCUUAGCCAUGUGGCACUAACACUUUUCAGAGGAAAGACAUGGUUCUCCAUCUUCUGAAUCACACCGUUGCCCUCAAGAAACUGAACCCUGGGCAUUUCCUGUGGGCCUGUUGUCUAGGGCCCAGGCCUGCAUCACAGAGCUGUGGCCUCCUCAUCACAAAGGGCUCCUGAAGGUGGGGGAGGGGCAAUCAGAGGAGGAGGCUGAACCACAGCACCCCACCACCACCACCCUGCCUUGCUCAUCCCUCCACCCUCUGGGCCUCCUGCAUCGCUCCUUCUGAUUCCACCUGCUCAAUUUCUCAGAGAUAGACCUCAGUCAAUUUUAUAUUCUUUCCUCCUGGAACCAGAUAUUACCUGGUUCCUUGGAGAUCUAUGCUGUGUUCCCUAAAUUUCAUAGGUUUUAAAAAUCUGAACUUGUCCCUGCAAUUUCUUUUACUUCUUAGGGAUUGUUGCUUUCAGGAUAUCCUCUCUCUGUAAUUCUACCUUUCCCAUAUAACAUGUUCUUGCCUUGCAUGAACUCAGACA